AUUGAACGCUGGCGGCGUGCCUAACACACCGUUUUGUCGAGCGGUAACAGGUGUAGCAAUACAUGCUGACGAGCGGCGGACGGGUGAGUAACGCUUGGGAAUCUGCCUGUUAGUGGGGGACAACCCGGGGAAACUCGGGCUAAUACCGCAUACGCACUACGGUGGAAAGCCGGGGACCGCAAGGCCUGGCGCUAACAGAUGAGCCCAAGUCGGAUUAGCUAGUUGGUAGGGUAACGGCCUACCAAGGCGACGAUCCGUAACUGGUCUGAGAGGACGACCAGUCACACCGGAACUGAGACACGGUCCGGACUCCUACGGGAGGCAGCAGUGGGGAAUAUUGGACAAUGGGGGCAACCCUGAUCCAGCGACGCCGCGUGGGUGAAGAAGGCCUGCGGGUUGUAAAGCCCUUUCGGUUGGGAAGAAAAGCUGCGACCUAACACGUUGCGGCCUUGACGUAACCAACUAAAGAAGCACCGGCUAACUCUGUGCCAGCAGCCGCGGUAAUACAGAGGGUGCGAGCGUUAAUCGGAAUUACUGGGCGUAAAGCGCGCGUAGGCGGCUUUGCAAGCCGGAUGUGAAAUCCCCGGGCUUAACCUGGGAACUGCAUUCGGGACUGCAUUGCUAGAGUAUGGGAGAGGGAAGUGGAAUUUCAGGUGUAGCGGUGAAAUGCGUAGAUAUCU
rnacentral:rRNA from 1 species